rnacentral:rRNA from 1 species
CCUACGGGAGGCAGCAGUGGGGAAUAUUGCACAAUGGGGGAAACCCUGAUGCAGCGACGCCGCGUGAGUGAAGACGUAUUUCGGUAUGUAAAGCUCUAUCAGCAGGGUAGAAAAUGACGGUACCUGACUAAGAAGCCCCGGCUAACUACGUGCCAGCAGCCUCUGUAAUACGUAGGGGGCAAGCGUUAUCCGGAUUUACUGGGUGUAAAGGGAGCGUAGACGGUGAUGCAAGUCAGAAGUGAAAGUCUGGGGCUCAACCGCGGGACUGCUUUUGAAACUGUGUGACUGGAGUGCAGGAGAGGUAGGCGGAAUGCGUGGUGUAGCGGUGAAAUGCGUAGAUAUCAGGAGGAACACCAGUGGCGAAGGCAGCUUACUGGACUGUAACUGACGUUGAGGCUCGAAAGCGUGGGGAGCAAACAGGAUUAGAUACCCGGGUAGUC